UUGGCUCACGCAUCGAUGAAGAACGUAGCUAAAUGCGAUACUUGGUGUGAAUUGCAGAAUCCCGUGAACCAUCGAGUUUUUGAACGCAAGUUGCGCCCGAAGCCUUUUGGCUGAGGGCACGUCUGCCUGGGCGUCACACAUCGCAUUAUCCCCAUCGCUUUUCCA
rnacentral:rRNA from 1 species